UAUACAAUUUGUUCAGAAACAACCUUGUC
rnacentral:piRNA from 1 species